AUGAAUUUAGUCUACUCAAGUUUGGAGGAGGGGAUGAAGAUUCUUUCCAGAAGCUCCAACCUUGACGAGAGAGUAGGAAAUACGUCUCCGCUUUGACAGGAACAAUGUGUGACGUGAAAGACCUCAGAUGCUGUGCAGGUUUGUGACGGUUCUUCAGAAGAAAGCACCUCCUGCCUGUUCUGUUCAAUGCCAGUCCAGUGAACAGGAACAGUACGAAGAAGAACAAAGAAAACCCAAAGUCAGUAGAAGGAAAGAAAUCAUAAAGAA